CAAGCUCCACCACCAAUCAAAACCCUCCCCCACCAAAUGUCCCUAUCUUUGUGGCACCUCCCCCAGCCCGAUUGCACAGAUCAUCUAGUGAGCCAUUGUUUCAAGCUCACGAUGCACAAUAUUGCCCCCUGAGCUCACAUUCAAAGCACCUGAGCCACAUACCUAUAAUCCACACUUUGAGGUCCCGACGGAGACUGAAAAGAUGGCUAAAAACAAGCAGGACGAGGUAAUGCGGAAGUUCAAAAGCC
rnacentral:lncRNA from 1 species